UCAAUAUUUAGCUUAUGGACAAUCACGUCAAAAGAAAUAUCUGGCAUGUUGAAAGCUGAUCAAGCAAAAAUGUUGGCAUUUUCUCAUAGAAAGUCUUGAGCAUCUUUCGAAGAUCUUGACUUAGUGCAGAUCUGACUUGGAUCAUCUUUGUUGGGUCUUCUUCUCUCAAGGAGAUCGAAAUUAGUUGCUCGACAGGUUCUCCACGAUUUUCUUUCUCUCUAUGAUCCA
rnacentral:lncRNA from 1 species